rnacentral:rRNA from 1 species
AGAGUUUGAUCCUGGCUNNNNNNNNNNGCUGGCGGAAUGCUUUACACAUGCAAGUCGAGCGGCAGCGCGGGGCAACCUGGCGGCGAGCGGCGAACGGGUGAGUAACAUAUCGGAACGUAUCCAUAAGUGGGGGACAACCUAGCGAAAGUUAGGCUAAUACCGCAUACGCUCGAGAGAGGAAAGUGGGGGAUCGCAAGACCUCACGCUUUAGGAGCGGCCGAUAUCCGAUUAGCUAGAUGGUGAGGUAAAGGCUUACCAUGGCGACGAUCGGUAGCUGGUCUGAGAGGCUGAUCAGCCACACUGGGACUGAGACACGGCCCAGACUCCUACGGGAGGCAGCAGUGGGGAAUUUUGGACAAUGGGGGCAACCCUGAUCCAGCCAUUCCGCGUGAGUGAAGAAGGCCUUCGGGUUGUAAAGCUCUUUUGUUCGGGACGAAACGGUUUCGCUUAAUACGCGAGACUACUGACGGUACCGGAAGAAUAAGCACCGGCUAACUACGUGCCAGCAGCCGCGGUAAUAC